rnacentral:rRNA from 1 species
CCUACGGGCGGCAGCAGUGGGGAAUAUUGCACAAUGGGGGAAACCCUGAUGCAGCGACGCCGCGUGAGUGAAGAAGUAAUUCGGUAUGUAAAGCUCCAUCAGCAGGGAAGAAAAUGACGGUACCUGAGUAAGAAGCCGCGGCUAAGUACGUGCCAGCAGCCGUGGUAAUACGUAGGGGGCAAGCGUUAUCCGGAUUUACUGGGUGUAAAGGGAGCGUAGACGGGAGUGCAGGUCUGGAGUGAAAGGGGGGGGCUCAACCCCCGGACUGCGGUGGAAACUGGACGGCUGGAGUGCAGGAGAGGUAAGUGGAAUUCGGGGUGUAGCGGUGAAAUGCGUAGAUAUUAGGAAGAACACCGGUGGCGAAGGCGGCUUACUGGACUGUAACUGACGUUGAGGCUCGAAAGCGUGGGGAGCGAACAGGAUUAGAUACCCCGGUAGUC